CAACGAAAGCAAAGGAGGUGAUCCAGUGUCUUAUGAGGUUUUGGCGCUUGAGGAAGGUCUGGGUUUUCAUGUGUUGAGCGGGAGUGAUCUCGGCUAACAACACGCCUCCCGGCCCCUUGAGGCCGAUAAGCUCAGGAAGGGCUGUCCGCAAAGGGCAGCCCU
rnacentral:sRNA from 1 species